AUUAGGUGUAAAGAGACAAUCUGGAGAAAAUGCUCUUAAAACUGCUAAAAAGUGCCAAAUAUGGAAAGUGCCAAAAAAGGAAAGUUUCCAAAUAAGGAAAGUUUCCAAAUAAGGAAAGUUUUCAGAAAAGGAAAGUUUUCAAAUGAGGAAAGUGCAGAAGCAAAAGCAAACAAGGAAAGCUCAGUCAGAAGAUCAUUUGAAAUUCAAAUCGCAGAUCUUUCUUUCCUUGUUCAAAGAUGUGCACACACUGCAGCAGUCAUAUCUUCCUAUUUAGGCAGCAAGAUCUCAAAGAGAUGCUCUUCCUCUUCUGCA
rnacentral:lncRNA from 1 species